rnacentral:rRNA from 1 species
CGGGGUGCAGCAGGCGCGAAAACUUUACAAUGCUGGAAACAGCGAUAGGGGGACUUUGAGUGCCAGGAUACAAUUCUGGCUGUCGUCGUGCCUAAAAAGCACGGCAUAGCAAGGGCCGGGCAAGACCGGUGCCAGCCGCCGCGGGAACACCGGCGGCUCGAGUGGUAACCGCUAUUAUUGGGUCUAGAGGGUCUGUAGCCGGCUGAAAAAGUCUCUUGGGAAAUCCGGCAGCUUAACUGUCGGGCUUUCAGGAGAUACUCUUCGGCUCGAGACCGGGAGAGGUGAGAGGUACUUCAUGGGUAGGGGUGAAAUCUUGUAAUCCUUGAAGGACCACCAGUGGCGAAGGCGUCUCACCAGAACGGAUCUGACGGCAAGGGACGAAAGCUAGGGGCACGAACCGGAUUAGAUACCCGGGUAGUCCUAGCCGUAAACGAUACUCGCUAGGUGUCGGCCACGGUGCGACCGUGGUCGGUGCCGUAGGGAAGCCGUGAAGCGAGCCACCUGGGAAGUACGGCCGCAAGGCUGAAACUUAAAGGAAUUGGCGGGGGAGCACAAGGGCGAUUCGC